rnacentral:rRNA from 1 species
CCUACGGGAGGCAGCAGUGGGGAAUAUUGCGCAAUGGGCGAAAGCCUGACGCAGCGACGCCGCGUGAGGGAUGAAGGUCUUCGGAUCGUAAACCUCUGUCAGCAGGGAAGAACGGUCACGGUGCUAAUCAGCAGUGAAUUGACGGUACCUGCAAAGGAAGCACCGGCUAACGCCGUGCCAGCAGCCGCGGUAAUACGGAGGGUGCGAGCGUUAAUCGGACUUACGGGGCGUACAGCGCUCGGAGGCGGUAUGUCAAGUCAAGGGUGAAAUCCCCGCGCUCAACGUGGGAACUGCCUUUGCAACUGGCCAACUGGCGUGUGUGAGAGGAUAGUGGACUUCCCGGUG